rnacentral:rRNA from 1 species
UGCUUAACACAUGCAAGUCGAACGGAUACUUAGGAAUCAGUGGCGGACGGUUGAGUAACACGUGAAUAACUGCCUCUAGGAUAGUGAGUCCAGAGGGAAACUUGGGCGAAUACCCGAUGAGCCUGCUGCUAAAUGAUCAUCGCCUAGAGAGGGGUUCGCGUCCGAUUAACUAGUUGGUGGGGUACAGGCUCACCAAUGCUGCGAUCGGUAGCUGUUCUGAGAGGAAGAACUGACACACUGGGACUGAGACACGGCCCAGACUCCUACGGGAGGCAGCCGUGCGGAAUUUUCCGCGAGUGGGCGAAAGCCUGACGGAGCAAUAGCGCGUGAGGGAAGAGGGUCCUUGUAUCGUAAACCCCUUUUCUCAGGGAACACGUUCUGACUGUACCUGAGGAAUAAGCCUCGGCUAACUCCGUGCCAGCAGACGCGGUAAUACGGAGGAGGCAAGCGUUAUCCGGAAUUAUUGGGCGUAAAGCGUUCGCAGGUGGCUCGUCAAGUCUGCUGUCUAAGACCGGAGCUUAACUCCUGAAAGGCGGUGGAAACUGAAGAGCUAGAUUGCGGUAUGGGUAGAGGGAUUUCCCAGUGUAGCGGUUAAAUGCGUAGAUAUUGGGAAGAACGCGGGUGGCGAAAGCGCUCUA